GACGAACGCUGGCGGCGUGCUUAACACAUGCAAGUCGAACGGAAAGGCCCUGCUUUUGUGGGGUGCUCGAGUGGCAAACGGGUGAGUAACACGUGAGUAACCUGCCCUUGACUUUGGGAUAACUUCAGGAAACUGGGGCUAAUACCGGAUAGGAGCUCCUGCUGCAUGGUGGGGGUUGGAAAGUUUCGGCGGUUGGGGAUGGACUCGCGGCUUAUCAGCUUGUUGGUGGGGUAGUGGCUUACCAAGGCUUUGACGGGUAGCCGGCCUGAGAGGGUGACCGGCCACAUUGGGACUGAGAUACGGCCCAGACUCCUACGGGAGGCAGCAGUGGGGAAUAUUGCACAAUGGGCGGAAGCCUGAUGCAGCAACGCCGCGUGCGGGAUGACGGCCUUCGGGUUGUAAACCGCUUUCGCCUGUGACGAAGCGUGAGUGACGGUAAUGGGUAAAGAAGCACCGGCUAACUACGUGCCAGCAGCCGCGGUGAUACGUAGGGUGCGAGCGUUGUCCGGAUUUAUUGGGCGUAAAGGGCUCGUAGGUGGUUGAUCGCGUCGGAAGUGUAAUCUUGGGGCUUAACCCUGAGCGUGCUUUCGAUACGGGUUGACUUGAGGAAGGUAGGGGAGAAUGGAAUUCCUGGUGGAGCGGUGGAAUGCGCAGAUAUCAGGAGGAACACCAGUGGCGAAGGCGGUUCUCUGGGCCUUUCCUGACGCUGAGGAGCGAAAGCGUGGGGAGCGAACAGGCUUAGAUACCCUGGUAGUCCACGCUGUAAACGGUGGGUACUAGGUGUGGGGUCCAUUCCACGGGUUCCGUGCCGUAGCUAACGCUUUAAGUACCCCGCCUGGGGAGUACGGCCGCAAGGCUAAAACUCAAAGGAAUUGACGGGGCCCCGCACAAGCGGCGGAGCAUGCGGAUUAAUUCGAUGCAACGCGUAGAACCUUACCUGGGUUUGACAUGGAUCGGGAGUGCUCAGAGAUGGGUGUGCCUCUUUUGGGGUCGGUUCACAGGUGGUGCAUGGCUGUCGUCAGCUCGUGUCGUGAGAUGUUGGGUUAAGUCCCGCAACGAGCGCAACCCUUGUUCACUGUUGCCAGCACGUUAUGGUGGGGACUCAGUGGAGACCGCCGGGGUCAACUCGGAGGAAGGUGGGGAUGACGUCAAGUCAUCAUGCCCCUUAUGUCCAGGGCUUCACGCAUGCUACAAUGGCUGGUACAGAGAGUGGCGAGCCUGUGAGGGUGAGCGAAUCUCGGAAAGCCGGUCUCAGUUCGGAUUGGGGUCUGCAACUCGACCUCAUGAAGUCGGAGUCGCUAGUAAUCGCAGAUCAGCAACGCUGCGGUGAAUACGUUCCCGGG
rnacentral:rRNA from 1 species